UUAUUAAAGUUACUAAAACAGAUUUUCUCUUCAAAGAAUUUUCUAAAACUAAAAACACAUCUUUCAAACAAACUCAACACCUUACAACUCUUAUCAAUAAGUAGCAUAAAUUCACCCCAUUGCAUUCCUAAUUGAACCACAAAAAAGAGUCACCAUGACUAAAUCGAUUGAUCGCCCCUCGACAAAGAAACACUGAAUGAAAUCUUGAACUCGAGCGGCGACUGUGCGUCUGGUGAGAUGGACGAGAGAAGCCGAGAAUCGAGAGUCGAGUCGGUGAGGCACCUUGGCGACCGCAGUUAAAAGGACAUGAUGCUGGGAUUGUUAGCGAGCCACGUUGUCUGGUUGCUCGACCUAGAACAUAAAGCAGUCCGGGAAUAGACAAUAGACCAGGCUCGACUUCACUUCACUUCUUGACGCAACUGCCCAAAAAUUGGCUCGCUCAUCAUUAUUUAUAUAUGGGACGUUCUAUUCAAUUGAAUAGAAAGAAGAACCCAAACGAAAAAGGGAAAGGGAAGGUGUCAAGG